CUCUCAAUUUCAUUUUUUUUUAAAAAAAUACAAACAAGUUCCAAAUAAAUUAUUAAAAAAUAAAAAACAAAAUCAUCAUCUUCUUUCUCAUCCCUUCCCCAAAUAUUGUCGCCGCCACCUAUGAAGCCAAAAAACACAACCUCGCCGUUGGCGAAGCCAUCGGAAAUCACACCCCACACCGACGCAUCAUCAUCCUCUACGAAUCCCACACAAACAGCAGCCUAAAAAAAAUCAAAAUCAGAUCAAAUUUUGGCAGCAAAAACACGGACCGCGCAAGGUUGCCUCCAAUUUUCAGCCACUCCGGUGACAUUUCUGAUCGCGGCCCACCACCCUCAAGUUCACCUCAUCAGGGCGACCAAUUCUAUGGACCAACUUCAUCAAAAACAGUCCAAGACGUGAUUGCUCAGCUCCCAUUUUCGUCCCAAGCACGAAAUGCAAUUCACGAUAAUAUGGCAACCCUCAAUUUACGGUCCUAAUAUGCUCCAAUUGAUGAAUUCAACCACCCAACAUUCAACUAAAGUCCAAAAUACUGUGGGUACAUAAUCAAUUAUACCAAUUACGCCUUUGGCUUCCUAAACUCAAACUCGAAGAUGGAUUGAUCACCGUCGGGUCAAAGGCUUAUCAAGUAAAAUUCCAAAGUGAAAUCGAAAAGCAUUCGAAUUGCCUGAAUUCCCUUCUUGGCUAUCUUCAAAGGCAUCCGUGGUUUUUCUUAGCCAGAAUGGCAGGGUAGGAUCCACCUUUCUCGGAGAAAACCGUAAGCCUCCUUCGACUUUUGAAUCCUAAUCUUGAAUGGAGAGUUGUAAUUAGAAGAAAUGAAUUCGACGUAAGGGUUGGCGCCAUGAAUGAAUAAGAGGAGAAAAUAUAGUUUCAGCCAGCUUUUGAAUUUUUAUUUAUUUAAUUGUCAUGUGUUUAUCCAUUGAUCUUUGCUUUUAUGAAUGUUGAUAAAUAGCCGGUGAAAUUAAGAAGGAAUUCAUUAGAGCUAGGCGAUCCGGAGGACAGGGAAGUGGGUAAGUGGGCUCCUUUCACGGAUUCGCCGACUUUUCUAGGCUUGAAGCCCUCUCUUCUCGCUCAUUCCCGACUACCCUGUGGAUUUGGAAAGAAAGGUUGUUGGCAAAAGCCUGGGCGAGGCAUAUUCAUAUGACUUCCUAUUGUCCGCUUCACUUUGGUACUCUUAGCUUCAUUUCCUUCUUCUAAUUGGGGACCUCUAAUAUGCUCUUUCUCACACUCGAUGAAAAGCACAAUCCGCUUUCGGUGUUUUUGGCUUCACAAUUCUAUUAUCCUUUCUCUACGCAACCUAGGGCUUUCACCCAUCCAAACGUGAGAGAGGUGUUGGAAAAUUUACAUCCACUGGGGGAAAUGGAGAGGAAACAAACAACUAGAAAUGUGAUCAAGAAGAUGAAGAACAUCCCUCACGGGGCGGUCGAAUUGGUGGAGUAGGAGGAAAUGGAGAGGAAACAAACAACUAGAAAUGUAAUCAAGAAGAUGAAGAACAUCCCCUCAUGGAGUGGCCGAGUUAGUGGAGUAGGAGAGUGUGGAGGCCUUUGGUCACGAGUUUGAUUCUCCCUACCAACACUUUCUCGAUCAUACAUGUUGCACAGGGCUUGUUUAGUGCAGUUUACCAGCCUGGCGUGGUUUGCAAACUAUUGCACCAGCCAGAAGGUUUACCAAAUGUGCACGAGAAGGGUAGCGGCUGCAGGUUCCCAUGUUAUAAAAAAAAGGAUGAAGAACAUAACGAAUAUGAAGGCUCAGACGCGUAAUCGCUGUCCUCAAACUAUAUUUGCCCCCUCGGGAUUGAAUGAGAUGUUUAAGGAUUUUAGCAAACGGUUUGUAGGAUUAUAUCAAACCUUAUAAAGGAUUUAACACUAAAGCACAAAUGCAAUCCUUCAAAACUUUAAGAGCACAAAGGAAGAUAUUGAAUAUGAAUGUAAAUCAAUAGUUUGAUUCAAUGUAGAAUAAUAUGUGGAUCUCAAGAUGUUUUUCAAUGUUUCUAAUGUGUUUGUCUUGAUCAUUCAUCACCAAUUUAUAGGUCUCAAUCAAUACAUCACGAAAUGGUGUCAAAAC
rnacentral:lncRNA from 1 species